AGUAGAGUGGCUGAGGGUUAAAUGUAGGUGAUAGAUUGUAAAUCUAUUAAGGGGUUAAUACCCCUCUACUA
rnacentral:tRNA from 1 species